UACGGGGGGAGCAAGCGUUGUUCGGAUUUACUGGGCGUAAAGGGCGCGUAGGCGGCCAGCACAAGUCAGUUGUGAAAUCUCCGGGCUUAACUCGGAAAGGUCACCUGAUACUGUGCGGCUAGAGUGCAGAAGGGGCAACUGGAAUUCUCGGUGUAGCGGUGAAAUGCGUAGAUAUCGAGAGGAACACCUGCGGCGAAGGCGGGUUGCUGGGCUGACACUGACGCUGAUGCGCGAAAGCCAGGGGAGCGAACGGG
rnacentral:rRNA from 1 species